rnacentral:rRNA from 1 species
CCUACGGGUGAGCAGCAGUGAGGAAUAUUGGUCAAUGGGCGGGAGCCUGAACCAGCCAAGUCGCGUGAGGGAAGACGGUCCUACGGAUGGUAAACCUCUUUUGCCGGGGAGAAACGGGGUCCUUGCGAGGGCCCGAUGAGAGUACCCGGAGACAAAGCAUCGGCUAACACCGUGCCCGCAGACGCGGUAAUACGGAGGAUGCGAGCGGUACGCGGUUUUAUGGGGUUUAAAGGGGGCGUAGGCGGGCUGUUAAGUCAGCGGUAAAAUGUCGGGGCUCAACCCCGGCCUGCCGUUGAAACUGGCUGCAUCGAGUGGGCGAGAAGUAUGCGGAAUGCGUGGUGUAGCGGUGAAAUGCAUAGAUAUCACGCAGAACUCCAAUUGCGAAGGCAGCAUACCGGCGCCCGACUGACGCUGAGGCACGAAAGCGUGGGUAUCGAACAGGAUUAGAUACCCCGGUAGUC